rnacentral:rRNA from 1 species
UACACACGGAUAACAUACCGAAAGGUAUGCUAAUACGGGAUAAUAUAUUUGAGAGGCAUCUCUUAAAUAUCAAAGGUGAGCCAGUACAGGAUGGACCCGCGUCUGAUUAGCUAGUUGGUAAGGUAACGGCUUACCAAGGCGACGAUCAGUAGCCGACCUGAGAGGGUGAUCGGCCACAUUGGAACUGAGGCACGGUCCAAACUCCUACGGGAGGCAGCAGUGGGGAAUAUUGCACAAUGGGCGAAAGCCUGAUGCAGCAACGCCGCGUGAGUGAUGAAGGCCUUCGGGUCGUAAAACUCUGUCCUCAAGGAAGAUAAUGACGGUACUUGAGGAGGAAGCCCCGGCUAACUACGUGCCAGCAGCCGCGGUAAUACGUAGGGGGCUAGCGUUAUCCGGAUUUACUGGGCGUAAAGGGUGCGUAGGCGGUCUUUCAAGUCAGGAGUGAAAGGCUACGGCUCAACCGUAGUAAGCUCUUGAAACUGGGAGACUUGAGUGCAGGAGAGGAGAGUGGAAUUCCUAGUGUAGCGGUGAAAUGCGUAGAUAUUAGGAGGAACACCAGUUGCGAAGGCGGCUCUCUGGACUGUAACUGACGCUGAGGCACGAAAGCGUGGGGAGCAAACAGGAUUAGAUACCCUGGUAGUCCACGCUGUAAACGAUGAGUACUAGGUGUCGGGGGUUACCCCCUUCGGUGCCGCAGC